rnacentral:piRNA from 1 species
UAGGCAAAACCAAUGUGUGCGAACUGUC